UACGAAGGGGGCGAGCGUUGUUCGGAAUCACUGGGCGUAAAGAGUGCGUAGGCGGCGAUAAAAGUUAGAAGUGAAAUCCCAGGGCUCAACCUUGGAAUUGCUUUUAAAACUAUAUUGCUAGAAUUUGGGAGAGGAUAGCGGAAUUGUCAGUGUAGCAGUGAAAUGCGUAGAUAUUGACAGGAACACCAGUGGCGUAAGCGGCUAUCUGGACCAACAUUGACGCUGAGGCACGAAAGCGUGGGGAUCAAACAGG
rnacentral:rRNA from 1 species